UACGUAGGUGGCAAGCGUUGUCCGGAAUUAUUGGGCGUAAAGCGCGCGCAGGCGGUCCUUUAAGUCUGAUGUGAAAGCCCACGGCUCAACCGUGGAGGGUCAUUGGAAACUGGAGGACUUGAGUGCAGAAGAGAAGAGUGGAAUUCCACGCGUAGCGGUGAAAUGCGUAGAGAUGGGGAGGAACACCAGUGGCGAAGGCGACUCUUUGGUCUGUAACUGACGCUGAGGCGCGAAAGCGUGGGGAGCAAACAGG
rnacentral:rRNA from 1 species